rnacentral:misc_RNA from 1 species
UUUUAAACAUAAUAUUGCACAGAUUCUACACACAUGAAUAAUAAUAAAUAAAGAAAUGGGUACUAAUGUCAUUUUUACCAAAGUAACUAUAGUGAAUUACCAAACCUUCUUAAAGCAAGGAAUUUCGUGAUAGCUUCCAAACUUUUUGAAACUUAGAAAGUUCUCGACACAUCUAUGAUAUGGCGGAGAUUCCUUGCUGACAUUUAUAUUCCAUUUAUUUUGACUUUGGAGCUGUGAAGAAAGAUAUGUUUACUUGACUUUUUCUCCGUUUUUCUUAAUUAGUUUCUCGCUUAACAUUUAUCGAAGAAUAUUUCAGUCAAUGUUAUCUCAAAUUCUACAAAAAUUUCUAUCAACCUAAGAAGGAAAAAAAAAAAUGUAUAAUUGGGAUAAAACGGAUGAAAGUUUGGUCAAUCAAAUGUGUUUUUGUUGUAUAUCUCCAAGAUUCGUUCCUGCAACAUUUUCAACUUUCCAGUCUGCAGAAGAAACAAAACCAGGUAUCCCUUGUGAUGGGUUAUUGGAUACAGUCAUUCCAAAGCAAAUUGAAAGUAAUUCCAACACUGUAACUAAGCAACCAAUGGAAAGAAAUUUGGUACCUGGCCAGAAUACUAUGCUAGUGUGUUCCCCCAAUGCUCUUCACACAGCUGCCAUAACUGGAGACUAUGCAGAACUGGCAAGACUCUUACACUCGAACACUUUCCCUAUUGAUGGUAUUGAUCAGUUUGGUCGCACUCCACUCAUGUACUGUGUGUUAGCAGAUCGACCUCAUUGUGCCAAACUUUUGCUUAAGGCAGGUUCCAAUGUUAACAUUAAAGAUAAAGGUGGCCGUACAGCUCUGCAUGGAGCUGCGCAUAAGGGUAAUUUUCGUCUAUUGAAAUUACUCUUAUCAAGAAAUGCAAACUGCCGUGAGAAAGACAAUGAAGGUCAAACUGCGAUGCAUUUAUGCACCAGGCACAAGUCUUUAAAGAGUCUGACACUUUUACUAAAACAAUUGACACCUGGGGAAAUAGAUGAUCAAGAUAAAUACAAGAGAACAGCACUUCACAGAGCAGCAUCCUAUGGCAAUAUUGAUCAUGUAAAGAUGCUUAUUAAACAAGGAUCCAAUAUCAGCAUUCCAGACAGUGAAGGUAAAACUCCCCUCCAUUGGGCUGCUAGCAGUAGAGACCCCACAGCUGUCUCCUGCGUUAAAGUGCUUCUUGAAACUGCUCCUAGUGUAAUCAAUUGGCAGGAUUAUGAGGGGAGAACAGCCUUACAUUUAGCUGUAGCAGAUGGCAAUGAAGCAGUUGUCAAAGUACUGACUUCUUUUGAGACGUGUAAUGUAUCACAACUAGAUAACAAUUUUCGAACAGCUCUGCACUGGGCAGCUGACCUUGGUCACUCACAAAUCAUCAGUAUUUUACUGGACAAUGGUGCUGAUUAUGCUUGUUCAGACUCCAACAGUGCUACUCCACUUCACUAUGCUGCCAAAAACAAUUGUGCUCAAACAGUUGAGGUUUUCCUUUCUCGAAAGAAUGUCACUGAUGAACCAGAUGUUGAAGGUCACACAGCAUUCAUGUGGGCUGCUGGAAAAGGAGCUGACGAAGUUAUAAAAACCUUUAUUAAGUAUAAUGUAGAUAUCCAGCAAGUUGAUAAGAAUAAUGAAACAGCUCUACAUGCAGCAGCCCUCUCAGGUCACUCUUCUACAGUUCAGCUUCUUUUGGAAAAUGGGGCUCACAUCAAUGGAACAAAUUUGAUGAAACAUACACCUUUAUUGCGUGCCUGUGAGAUGGGUCAUACAGAUGUUGUUCAAUGUUUGAUAGAAUGGGAUGCCAGGGUGGAUAUGUUUGACCAGGAUGGCCAUUCUCCAUUACACUGGGCAGCUCUUGGAGGACAUGCAAAUAUCUGCCAGAUUCUCAUAAGCUAUGGCAUUGAACCAAACAGUCAAGACCGCUUAGGGAGAACCGCAUUACAAUGUGCUGCAUAUGGUGGUUUUGUAAAUUGCAUGUCCAUGUUGAUGGAACAUAUGGCUGACCCUAACGUACAAGACUUCGAGGGGAAAACUGCCACUCAUUGGGCCUGUAGGCGUGGUCAUCUGGAUGCUGUGAAACUUUUAAUGCAAUAUGGAGCCUUACCAAAUUAUAUGGAUUUCACUGAAGAUCGGUACACACCCCUUGACUAUGCAUUGAUGGAGGAACACCAUGAUGUAGCUCAGUACAUGAUUGAACAAGGAGCAUUAUCAAUUAUUGGCAUCCAAGAUAUUGCAGCACAGAAAAUACAGUCUUCCUUUCGGGGUUAUCGUGUCCGGAAGACUUUCACAGAGAGAAAACGUCUUCUUAUGAAACAUGAACAGCUAAAGAAAGAAGUGGCCAGAAAACGAGCUGAAGAAGAAGGUAAAAAGAAAGAUGACCGACCAACUCCUUCAGAUGGAGAAAUAUGAUGCAGGACUAUUUUUUUGGUCCUUGUACUUUCUUAAAUUUGUAUGGCUCAACUAAUUCUGAAAUUCAGAAUGAAAAAUAAUAAUCUCCAGUAGGGAAAAAAAAUGAAUCUCAAGUUCUUCCAAUCAUUUCUGAUUUGAUAUCAUUGUUGCUGUUAUGGCUAAAACACUACAAUACCUGAAAUGAUUCACAAAUUUUACCAGCAUUCUUUUGUAAACAUCAUUUUGAAAUGUUUUGUUUCAAAAUGAAACAAAAACUUAACUCAAUAUUAUUAUUUCAAGUUUUUAAUUUAAUGCAGUAUUGUACAGCAACUGGCAUUCAUAAAUAUUUGGAUGGUCAGUUUUUUUUCUUGCCAAAUAAGUCUUCAGCAGCCCCCAUGGACUAGGCGGAGCAGGAAGAUACAUGAGGAUGGAAAGGGUCGCUGAAGAGGUCACAGAUGUGUGACAAAAGGUUUCCAGACAAUGAACAGAAU